rnacentral:rRNA from 2 species
GGACUACUGGGGUAUCUAAUCCCGUUUGCUCCCCUGGCUUUCGCGCCUCAGCGUCAGUAGGUGUCCAGCACGCCGCUUUCGCCACCGGCGUUCCUUCCGAUAUCUACGCAUUUCACCGCUCCACCGGAAGUUCCGCAUGCCCCUGCACCCCUCAAGACCACCAGUAUCCACGGCACUUCCCCGGUUAAGCCGGGGGCUUUCACCACAGACUUGGUGGCCCGCCUACGCGCCCUUUAAGCCCAGUGAAUCCGAACAACGUUCGCACGGUUCGUCUUACCGCGGCGGCUGGCAC